AACGAACGCUGGCGGCAGGCCUAACACAUGCAAGUCGAACGCGUCCUUCGGGACGAGUGGCAGACGGGUGAGUAACGCGUGGGAACGUACCCUUUGGUUCGGAACAACAGCGGGAAACUGCUGCUAAUACCGGAUAAGCCCUUCGGGGAAGAUUAUCGCCAGAGGAUCGGCCCGCGUUAGAUUAGCUUGUUGGUGAGGUAAUGGCUCACCAAGGCUACGAUCUAUAGCUGGUCUGAGAGGAUGAUCAGCCACACUGGGACUGAGACACGGCCCAGACUCUUACGGGAGGCAGCAGUGGGGAAUCUUGGACAAUGGGCGAAAGCCUGAUCCAGCCAUGCCGCGUGAAUGAUGAAGGCCCUAGGGUUGUAAAU
rnacentral:rRNA from 1 species